rnacentral:misc_RNA from 1 species
GCAGCGGCAUCGGUUUUGGCAACCACACUUUCGUUUUCUGUGAUUGCUCAAGAAAGGAAAAAGAAAAGGAAAGUUGGAACUUCCGUAUUCUAUUUCUAUCAUCUCCUUCAGUAUAUAUAGCUUAUUUCUUGCAUGAUGAUGAGAACUCCAGAUAAAAUCAAGAACUUACAUCUUGUUUAUUGACAGAAGCAACUGCAAAAUUUGCAGCAACUUCUGUAAAGACAGGUGGUGAUGGUGCAUGAGAAACCUUGCCAGCAAAGUUCUUUUCACCUAACGUGCACUUGCCUCCUGGAACAUACGUGGUGCAUGACCCAUGAGAUGGAGUCACCGGACCCCUUAGAGAUUGGAUUACAAAAUUUUUAUCUCCUUCUAAAGGCCUCGCACCCAACAUUUCUUGAAAGCAGGAAGCAAAAAGGAGGGAAACAAUGAGCAAACGGCAACUCAUUUUGUAACAAGAAAUGAAAACAAUAUAUU